UUUUAUUUCAGUAAUGUUUGCUCUGUUUCUUUCAAUAGAAACUGAUAAAGAUGGCAUUGAACCUAUACAUUACUUUGGGUCCUGUGAUAUGAUGAUUGUCCAUCAAACACAAAAUCUUCAGGAAAAGAUGAACACUGGUCCAGAAACAAGGAAACUAUGGUGGGGACAGUGGUGAGUUUCCUUUGGGAGAGGAGGGUGGAGAUGAG